CGCUUAUAAGGUUUAAGCACCAGUCUAUUGCUGGUUGGGUUGUGAAUGUUUGUUUAGUGGUGUUUAUUAUUUCCCUGAACAUCAUACUGUCUGCCUACUUGUUCUGGGGUUUCAUCAACGAGCCGCUCGUAGACGUGGAGGGACUUCCAACUUACCAAAGAAAGUCUGUUAUAGUAGACAAACAUAAUGGUCGAGUUUAUUCGAGAUAAACUUGCCAAUGGACUACCUCAGUACGAUUUCUACACGAGAAACAUCCUGUCUAGCCAGCUUAAGGUACAAAAGUUCCAUAUUUAAGAAAGUUUAAACCCACGGAUCCUGCCCUGGUUUCGAAAUUUUGGAAUAUGAAAGAUGACUGGAAAAAUACCCAUGAUGUACUGUAAAAUAUAUUUUAAAUAUAUUCAGACAUGGAAA